CAUCGCCUCUUGCAAAGCUAAAGAAUAAGAGGUCCCGCCUGCCCUGUGACUAUUAGUUUAACGGCCGCGGUAUUUUGACCGUGCAAAGGUAGCGCAAUCACUUGUCUUUUAAAUGAAGACCUGUAUGAAUGGCACAACGAGGGCUUAACUGUCUCCUCUUUCAAGUCAAUGAAAUUGAUCUCCCCGUGCAGAAGCGGGGAUAUAAACAUAAGACGAGAAGACCCUAUGGAGCUUUAGACACCAAAGAAGAUCCUGUCAAUUAACCCCCCACAAGGGCCUGAACCAAUGGAAUCCUUCCCUAAUGUCUUUGGUUGGGGCGACCGCGGGGAAACAAAAAACCCCCACGUGGAAAGGGAGCACCCCCUCCUACAACUAAGAGCCGCAGCUCUAAUUAACAGAAUAUCUGACCAAUAAGAUCCGGCAAUGCCGAUCAACGGACCGAGUUACCCUAGGGAUAACAGCGCAAUCCCCUUUUAGAGCCCAUAUCGACAAGGGGGUUUACGACCUCGAUGUUGGAUCAGGACAUCCUAAUGGUGCAGCCGCUAUUAAGGGUCCGUUUGUUCAACGGUUAAAGUCCUACGUGA
rnacentral:rRNA from 1 species